rnacentral:rRNA from 1 species
UGGGGAAUAUUGCACAAUGGGCGAAAGCCUGAUGCAGCAACGCCGCGUGAGUGAUGAAGGCCUUCGGGUUGUAAAGCUCUGUCUUUUGGGACGAUAAUGACGGUACCAAAGGAGGAAGCCACGGCUAACUACGUGCCAGCAGCCGCGGUAAUACGUAGGUGGCAAGCGUUGUCCGGAUUUACUGGGCGUAAAGGAUGCGUAGGCGGAUUUUUAAGUGAGAUGUGAAAACCCUAAGCUUAACUUGGGGACUGCAUUUCAUACUGGAAAUCUAGAGUGCGGGAGAGGAGAAUGGAAUUCCUAGUGUAGCGGUGAAAUGCGUAGAGAUUAGGAAGAACACCAGUGGCGAAGGCGAUUCUCUGGACCGUAACUGACGCUGAGGCAUGAAAAGCGUGGGUAGCAAACAGGAUUAGAUACCCUGGUAGUCCACGCCGUAAAACGAUGAGUACUAGGUGUAGGAGGUAUCGACUCCUUCUGUGCCGCAGUUAACACAAUAAGUACUCCGCCUGGGAAGUACGAUCGCAAGA